rnacentral:lncRNA from 1 species
CAGAAGGGGGCAGAGCUGGCAUCUCCCAGAGCAAAGAAUUAAGGAGACGCUCAAAAACCCAAAACACAGGCAGCUUUGUCCAGGCCGAAUGAACCAGCCAGGACAGACCCAGGCUGGGAAAGACCAGAGCGGCCCCUGGACUGAGGUGAACACGGACACACCACUGAACUGAACCCUGGAUAUGUUGCUAGUAUCCCCUUACCUGUCAUAUCCUUCUUUACUGCAGGGAAACAUUUCUUCUCCUGUGCAGUCCGGAGCCUUCCCAACAUCCCACCACCGCAAACACGGAUUGAGGGAAGACGUUGGCCAAAAGCCAGCUCCUGCUACCUGCUCCCAGUCUCCUGCAUGUGGUGGAAGAAAGCCAUUCAUUCCCGUCUUGUCUUCGUGUUUUCUGGAAUUAGUGCAAUCAUCACUCCUUUUCCGGAAACUU